rnacentral:lncRNA from 1 species
GCUUGGAGGACCUUCACUGCAUGCUUCAGAUUCCUUACUGGACCCAGCCUUGGAAGACUUAGGGCUAGAGAGGCCCUAGCUAUCUUGGUCACGUGGAGUCCUGUACUGGAGCUCACGUGGAUGGAGAAGAGCCAGUUCCAGUGAUUGCCCAGGGCACACUUCCACAGUCAGGCCCAAGUCCAGCUCUAUCCCUGGAGCUUUGGAUCACGUUGGAUGGCUGCUAAAUGCUCUGAAACAAAGGGUUACGCAUCGUCCUACGGCCAGGUGGGCAGCACUUCAUAUGGCUGACCCCAUCGCCAAGGUGUCCUGAAUAACUCACCAAGAAAGGCGCGACCUACAUAAAGAUUCUUCUCAUCAGUUCCUCCACCCUCCCAGGUAGAAGUCAUGAGUGGAUUUGUCGGCUGUGACCGGAAGCUACGCUUUCUGUGCGCAUCCUCCACUACAAACAACCUUAGGGUUGUUCGAAGAGCCAAAAGCCUUCUGCCAUGCUCACACCCUGCUCCCCUCCGUCCCCCAACUGAAUGUUACCCUUGGAAGUAAGCCCGCCUGCGAGUCUCAUUUGUACAGCCUUUGCUUUCUCUAUCUGCGCCAGGAAAAAGAAGAUCUGGAUUUAUUGUACAUCUGUUUGUGUUCGGCUUAAUAAAAGGAAACCUAUAUUUUAAGAUAAACUUUGUUAGUAAUUCAUGAAGUGACUAUUUAUGCUAAUCAGGCAGAAAUAUAUUCUCAGGCAUAAUGCAUUACAUAAAUUUGAAUGCAAAAUGUUCAAUUAUGAGGUAAAUACAGGUAACGCAAAUAAUAAAUUACCUCUAAUAAAAAUUAUGAAAUGCGUGUCUUCAAAGAGAAUGGCUCUAGCUUACAACUGUGAAUUGCUUAAAGAGAGAAAAAUUAAUAAAGACUGAAUUGCCCUGAUGAUUAUUUCGCCCAUAACUCACCUAUUCAUAACGACUUUUUUGGUAAUCAGACUGUUGUUUCUUGCUCUCCGAUGCAGGCAAGCCGAGGUUGUUUCCUCAGCAAUUUUACCGUUAUCAGAUUAUCUCAUCUGAUUCUAUUAAUUUUCUCCCAUGAAUCUGCUAACAGCAGCCUGUGAUUUACUUACCCUGCUAAGUGAAGACGGCUAAAAGGAUUUAU